ACUCAAAGGAAUUGACGGGGGCCCGCACAAGCGGUGGAGCAUGUGGUUUAAUUCGACGCAACGCGAAGAACCUUACCCGGGCUUGAACUGCAGAUGACCGACUACGAAAGUGGUUUUCCGCAAGGACAUCUGUAGAGGUGCUGCAUGGCUGUCGUCAGCUCGUGUCGUGAGAUGUUGGGUUAAGUCCCGCAACGAGCGCAACCCUUGUCCGCUGUUGCCAUCAGGUAAUGCUGGGCACUCUGCGGAGACUGCCGGUGACAAACCGGAGGAAGGUGGGGAUGACGUCAAGUCAGCAUGGCCUUUAUGUCCGGGGCUACACACGUGCUACAAUGGCCGGUACAAACCGCUGCAAACUCGCGAGGGUGAGCUAAUCGGAAAAAGCCGGUCUCAGUUCGGAUUGUAGGCUGCAACUCGCCUGCAUGAAGUCGGAAUCGCUAGUAAUCGCGGAUCAGCACGCCGCGGUGAAUACGUUCCCGGGCCUUGUACACACCGCCCGU
rnacentral:rRNA from 1 species